rnacentral:misc_RNA from 1 species
UUUCAUUAAAAUUUAAGAUGUAUAGUAAUUAUUGAAUACAAAAGAUAUUUUAAAAUGAAAGUUCCACAUACAAGGGAGGAAGACGAAUAGCUAUGGAAUAUCUAUUACCCUCCUACUCUAUUCCAUUCUGUAAACCAAAUGAACCUUGCAUUUAAGAAAAUUUAAGAUUAUGAUUAUCAUCCGAUAUAUUUCUGUUUCUUUAGAG